AGCGUACACGGUGGAUGCCCUGGCAGUCAGAGGCGAUGAAGGACGUGCUAAUCUGCGAUAAGCGUCGGUAAGGUGAUAUGAACCGUUAUAACCGGCGAUUUCCGAAUGGGGAAACCCAGUGUGUUUCGACACACUAUCAUUAACUGAAUCCAUAGGUUAAUGAGGCGAACCGGGGGAACUGAAACAUCUAAGUACCCCGAGGAAAAGAAAUCAACCGAGAUUCCCCCAGUAGCGGCGAGCGAACGGGGAGCAGCCCAGAGCCUGAAUCAGUGUGUGUGUUAGUGGAAGCGUCUGGAAAGGCGCGCGAUACAGGGUGACAGCCCCGUACACAAAAAUGCACAUGCUGUGAGCUCGAUGAGUAGGGCGGGACACGUGGUAUCCUGUCUGAAUAUGGGGGGACCAUCCUCCAAGGCUAAAUACUCCUGACUGACCGAUAGUGAACCAGUACCGUGAGGGAAAGGCGAAAAGAACCCCGGCGAGGGGAGUGAAAAAGAACCUGAAACCGUGUACGUACAAGCAGUGGGAGCACGCUUAGGCGUGUGACUGCGUACCUUUUGUAUAAUGGGUCAGCGACUUAUAUUCUGUAGCAAGGUUAACCGAAUAGGGGAGCCGAAGGGAAACCGAGUCUUAACUGGGCGUUAAGUUGCAGGGUAUAGACCCGAAACCCGGUGAUCUAGCCAUGGGCAGGUUGAAGGUUGGGUAACACUAACUGGAGGACCGAACCGACUAAUGUUGAAAAAUUAGCGGAUGACUUGUGGCUGGGGGUGAAAGGCCAAUCAAACCGGGAGAUAGCUGGUUCUCCCCGAAAGCUAUUUAGGUAGCGCCUCGUGAAUUCAUCUCCGGGGGUAGAGCACUGUUUCGGCAAGGGGGUCAUCCCGACUUACCAACCCGAUGCAAACUGCGAAUACCGGAGAAUGUUAUCACGGGAGACACACGGCGGGUGCUAACGUCCGUCGUGAAGAGGGAAACAACCCAGACCGCCAGCUAAGGUCCCAAAGUCAUGGUUAAGUGGGAAACGAUGUGGGAAGGCCCAGACAGCCAGGAUGUUGGCUUAGAAGCAGCCAUCAUUUAAAGAAAGCGUAAUAGCUCACUGGUCGAGUCGGCCUGCGCGGAAGAUGUAACGGGGCUAAACCAUGCACCGAAGCUGCGGCAGCGACGCUUAUGCGUUGUUGGGUAGGGGAGCGUUCUGUAAGCCUGCGAAGGUGUGCUGUGAGGCAUGCUGGAGGUAUCAGAAGUGCGAAUGCUGACAUAAGUAACGAUAAAGCGGGUGAAAAGCCCGCUCGCCGGAAGACCAAGGGUUCCUGUCCAACGUUAAUCGGGGCAGGGUGAGUCGACCCCUAAGGCGAGGCCGAAAGGCGUAGUCGAUGGGAAACAGGUUAAUAUUCCUGUACUUGGUGUUACUGCGAAGGGGGGACGGAGAAGGCUAUGUUGGCCGGGCGACGGUUGUCCCGGUUUAAGCGUGUAGGCUGGUUUUCCAGGCAAAUCCGGAAAAUCAAGGCUGAGGCGUGAUGACGAGGCACUACGGUGCUGAAGCAACAAAUGCCCUGCUUCCAGGAAAAGCCUCUAAGCAUCAGGUAACAUCAAAUCGUACCCCAAACCGACACAGGUGGUCAGGUAGAGAAUACCAAGGCGCUUGAGAGAACUCGGGUGAAGGAACUAGGCAAAAUGGUGCCGUAACUUCGGGAGAAGGCACGCUGAUAUGUAGGUGAAGUCCCUCGCGGAUGGAGCUGAAAUCAGUCGAAGAUACCAGCUGGCUGCAACUGUUUAUUAAAAACACAGCACUGUGCAAACACGAAAGUGGACGUAUACGGUGUGACGCCUGCCCGGUGCCGGAAGGUUAAUUGAUGGGGUCAGCGCAAGCGAAGCUCUUGAUCGAAGCCCCGGUAAACGGCGGCCGUAACUAUAACGGUCCUAAGGUAGCGAAAUUCCUUGUCGGGUAAGUUCCGACCUGCACGAAUGGCGUAAUGAUGGCCAGGCUGUCUCCACCCGAGACUCAGUGAAAUUGAACUCGCUGUGAAGAUGCAGUGUACCCGCGGCAAGACGGAAAGACCCCGUGAACCUUUACUAUAGCUUGACACUGAACAUUGAGCCUUGAUGUGUAGGAUAGGUGGGAGGCUUUGAAGUGUGGACGCCAGUCUGCAUGGAGCCGACCUUGAAAUACCACCCUUUAAUGUUUGAUGUUCUAACGUUGACCCGUAAUCCGGGUUGCGGACAGUGUCUGGUGGGUAGUUUGACUGGGGCGGUCUCCUCCUAAAGAGUAACGGAGGAGCACGAAGGUUGGCUAAUCCUGGUCGGACAUCAGGAGGUUAGUGCAAUGGCAUAAGCCAGCUUGACUGCGAGCGUGACGGCGCGAGCAGGUGCGAAAGCAGGUCAUAGUGAUCCGGUGGUUCUGAAUGGAAGGGCCAUCGCUCAACGGAUAAAAGGUACUCCGGGGAUAACAGGCUGAUACCGCCCAAGAGUUCAUAUCGACGGCGGUGUUUGGCACCUCGAUGUCGGCUCAUCACAUCCUGGGGCUGAAGUAGGUCCCAAGGGUAUGGCUGUUCGCCAUUUAAAGUGGUACGCGAGCUGGGUUUAGAACGUCGUGAGACAGUUCGGUCCCUAUCUGCCGUGGGCGCUGGAGAACUGAGGGGGGCUGCUCCUAGUACGAGAGGACCGGAGUGGACGCAUCACUGGUGUUCGGGUUGUCAUGCCAAUGGCACUGCCCGGUAGCUAAAUGCGGAAGAGAUAAGUGCUGAAAGCAUCUAAGCACGAAACUUGCCCCGAGAUGAGUUCU
rnacentral:rRNA from 1 species